UUACGGCCACAUCACGUUGAAACACUGGUUCCAGUACGAUCACUGAAGUUAAACAACGUUGAGUCUGGUCAGUACCUAGAUGGCUGGCCUAUUGGGAAUACCAGAUACUGUAAG